UCAACAAAUUUUGUUAGUUAUUCACAAUCAUCAAUUUUUGCUUGCACGCACGUAAUCCAGACACAGCUCAUUUCAAAAAUGGCAGACUGCAAUAAAAAUUUUUGUGUGAAAUGCGAAGAGAACAUCAAAGGACAGGCCGACGACAAGAUCAUAAAAUGCAACACCGACUCUUGCAACGGUUGCAUGCACUACAACUGUAGCGAAUACAAUGCAACCGAAUUGAACUUUCUCGAGUCCAACAAGAACAACGUUAAGUGGUUCUGCGAUGGAUGCACCAAAGACAAACUCCAAGAAUAACGGCCGCUCAUAAAUCUUAUUAAAUCAUUUUUAUCAUCAAUCUUUUAUCUACCAUUAACAAAAUCCAAAGUAGUGAUUCUUUACCAUUCUAAAUGUGUCUGAUUACUUAUUUUUUUAUUCCACUUUAUAAAUAGUUAUGUAUUGUAUAUAUUGACCCUUAAAUUGACCAAGUAAUGUAUUUUUAUAAUUUUUUUUAUAUAUUUUUAGUAUUUUAUAUUGACCGUUAUUAACAAUGUAUUUUUGUAGAUAAAUUCUCAAUAAACGUUGUCAGUUACAA